UAGCCAGUGGCGGAGCGGUUUAAACGCAUCUGCGUAUCAAGGAGACUGUCGCGGGUUCGAAUCCCGUCUGUUUGG
rnacentral:tRNA from 1 species